rnacentral:rRNA from 1 species
GGGAACAGCCCAGCGCCGAAUCCCCGACCCCCAGGUCGCGGGAAAUGUGGCGUUCAGGAGUGAGCGUGCCGGGAUCGGACUGAGCAGCAAGUCCCCCUGACCGGGGCCUAUCCAUAGCGGGUGCGAGGCCCAUAGCCGCUCGGUCCGUCUCGGAUGCGAUCUCCUUGGAGUCGGGUUGCUUGGGAGUGCAGCCCUAAUCGGGUGGUAAACUCCACCUAAGGCUAAAUACCGCCGUGAGACCGAUAGCAAACAAGUACCGUGAGGGAAAGUUGCAAAGAACUUUGAAGAGAGAGUUCAAGAGUACGUGAAACUGCUCAGAGGUAAACGGGUGGGCCCUCGAAAUCCUGUGGCGAGAGGAUUCAGUCUGGCGAGGCGGACGCGGUGGUCGGAAACGAGCAGGGCUUCCCGAGCAGGGGCCGUUCGACCGCGCGUCAUCCGUCGCGUCCCGACGCAUUUGUCUCUCGUCCGAAGGACGCUGCAGCCGGUCGGGCAGCUGCAAGCGCGACGACCUGAAGGGAGGGGGCCGGCAGGUGUCCGGUGGCGCGCCCCGUGCGCGUCGCCGGUUGUUAGCCACCCCUCCAGUGGUCCGUCGCCCGACCGAGGUGUCACUAGACCCGAGUGGUCUCUACGUCUCCUCCCCAGGAAGCGGAACAGACGAGCGCAGGGGCGGCGCGCCGUCCCGUCGCACUACCCCGGAGUGGGCGAGCGAACGGGCUACCCCGCUGGCGCACGCGGAGUCCGCGGGAGAGUUGGAGGCUCGCAGCGAAAGCGUCGGUCACCCACCCGACCCGUCUUGAAACACGGACCAAGGAGUCUAACAUGUGCGCGAGUCAAUGGGUCUUGAACAGGCCCAGGGGCGCAAUGAAAGCAAAGGUCGUCGCACGGCGACCGAGUUGGGAUCCCCCGCUCACGCGGGGGCGCACCAACGUCCCGUCCCGUCCGGCUCGCCGGUGGGGCGGAGAUCGAGCGUACACGUUGGGACCCGAAAGAUGGUGAACUAUGCCCGGACAGGACGAAGCCAGAGGAAACUCUG